UACGGAGGGUGCAAGCGUUAUCCGGAUUCACUGGGUUUAAAGGGUGCGUAGGAGGGCAGGUAAGUCAGUGGUGAAAUCUUCGAGCUUAACUCGGAAACUGCCGUUGAUACUAUCUGUCUUGAAUACCGUGGAGAUGAGCGGAAUAUGUCAUGUAGCGGUGAAAUGCUUAGAUAUGACAUAGAACACCAAUUGCGAAGGCAGCUCGUUACACGAAUAUUGACUCUGAGGCACGAAAGCGUGGGGGAUCAAAACAGG
rnacentral:rRNA from 1 species